UACGGAGGGUGCGAGCGUUGUCCGGAAUCAUUGGGCGUAAAGGGCGCGUAGGUGGCGCGGGCAGUCAACGGUGAAAGUUCGGGGCUCAACCCUGAAUCGGCCGUCGAUACUCCCGUGCUUGAGCACUGUAGAGGCAGAUGGAAUUCCGGGUGUAGCGGUGGAAUGCGUAGAGAUCCGGAAGAACACCGGUGGCGAAGGCGGUCUGCUGGGCAGUAGCUGACACUGAGGCGCGACAGCGUGGGGAGCAAACAGG
rnacentral:rRNA from 1 species